rnacentral:lncRNA from 1 species
UUUCUUUUUCUUCUUCUCUCUAUACGUUGGUGUUCUAACCAAUAAUCACCAAUACGAUAUUCUGUCCGAUCGAUCCGGGAACCAACUAACGAAUGCCAAAGUGUUGUCUAAUAAGACUAUAGUUUGUGAAUUUCGUUAAGGUUCUGAUCUCGUGACCAUCGUUAGGUUUGAUUUGGUUUAACACUAAUACGUAUUCCACUCUGUCAAACUAAAUGUUUAACUACCAGAAAACUCUGCACUACACACUUACAAUCAAAAUAGAUGCUUAGUUAUCAGAAGACUUAGAAUCAGGAGGCCUGUUAAAUCAAGACUAUAUGCUAACAAGGUGAUUACAGUAGAUCGGAAUAAGAGUUGUGAUACGGCACCGAAAGGCUUAAAGAAGUGGCUUAUUUUAUCAAAUGAAUUAAAUUAAAUUA